CGUGGACCAGUCAUGGUGUCAGGGCAGCAGUGGAUCUGACUCUCCCUCUCUCUCUCUCUCUCUCUCUCUCUCUCUCUCCCUCUCUCUUCGUCUUCCUCUUUCUCUCUCUUGCUCCUCUCCAUCCAUCCUUUCCUCUGACUGUGGGACAGUAGGAGGAGUGCCGGGUCAGGAAGCGAGCCUAUCAAACUCUUUUUUCUGGAGGAUAAUUAAUGCGUGCCAACCUGGAGGGCCGAUCCUGCCACUGGACUGCUGCAAACAGGACUGUGAAGGAAGCGCUCCUCUGCUUCACAGUUGGUUGCAUUCUGCUGUGUGAGGAAGAUCUUUGAACAGCCUGUGCUGCCUAUCCUUUCUGUGGCCUAAAGGUGAUGGCUUCAUCCUGAUUUGUUCUUCUUGUGACCUGGGAGUCCCUAAAUCCCGAACAAUAUAGCUUUGGAACACCCUGGAAAUACCUGGAAUUCUAGGAGUAUAUCACCAAAACUACUUAAGGUGCCCAGGCACUACAUCAAUAGCUUUAAAUUCUCCUUUAUUAUUAUUAUUAUUAUUUUUUUUUUGAGUACGCAAAGAAAAGCGACGAAAGUCUGCACGUUAGCAAUAGCCGCUGGCCAUCCACCAUCGCUUCGACGAACCUGCUGUGACCAAGAGGGCGUGACCUUUCUGCCUGCUGGCUUCAAACACACACUUGAAAAGAAAACGCAGUCAGAGAGGCUUCCGCGUGGUGGCAACUCAGACCAAAAACCCCAUCAGGUAAGGCUGUGAAGUCCCCCAUGCUCCUGCUGUCCAAGCCCUAAGCCCUUUAACUUCCUCCGGGCUUUGAAGCUAACUUGUCCCCCAGUCUGUGUCCCCUCACACAGUUAGCUCACCUUCAGAGUUUGUGUAAAGUAAAGGUGGCUGAUAAAUGCCCCGCUUUCAUGCUCUGCUCCCCUGUAUGUUCCCCUCGGAUUAGAGGCUCUGAAUACGUUCUGGUUGUUUGGUUGAUAGACACUCGCCUUGGCUUCUUCACUGUCCUUUUGCAGAUUUGGCCUGUGACCAGUCAGAGCUGGAGUGAAUGUGCUA